UACGGAGGGGGCUAGCGUUGUUCGGAAUUACUGGGCGUAAAGCGUGCGCAGGCGGUUUUGUAAGCCCGAUGUGAAAGCCCCGGGCUUAACCUGGGAAUGGCAUUUGGGACUGCAAGGCUUGAGUGCGGCAGAGGAGACUGGAAUUCCUGGUGUAGCAGUGAAAUGCGUAGAUAUCAGGAGGAAUACCGAUGGCGAAGGCAGGUCUCUGGGCUGACACUGACGCUCAUGCACGAAAGCGUGGGGAGCAAACAGG
rnacentral:rRNA from 1 species